GCCUAUCUAGCUUAGUUGGUACAUUGCAAGGCUCUUAAUCUUGUAGUUGUGGGUUCGAGCCUCAUGGUGGGCA
rnacentral:tRNA from 1 species